rnacentral:rRNA from 1 species
GGGGAAUAUUGCACAAUGGGCGAAAGCCUGAUGCAGCAACGCCGCGUGAGUGAUGAAGGUCUUCGGAUUGUAAAGCUCUGUCUUUUGGGACGAUAAUGACGGUACCAAAGGAGGAAGCCACGGCUAACUACGUGCCAGCAGCCGCGGUAAUACGUAGGUGGCGAGCGUUGUCCGGAUUUACUGGGCGUAAAGGGUGCGUAGGCGGAUGUUUAAGUGAGAUGUGAAAUACCCGGGCUUAACUUGGGUGCUGCAUUUCAAACUGGAUAUCUAGAGUGCAGGAGAGGGAUGAAUUGACUUCNGUGUAGCGGUGAAAUGCGUAGAGAUUAGGAAGAACACCAGUGGCGAAGGCGAUUCUCUGGACUGUAACUGACGCUGAGGCACGAAAGCGUGGGUAGCAAACAGGAUUAGAUACCCUGGUAGUCCACGCCGUAAACGAUGAGUACUAGGUGUAGGAGGUAUCGACCCCUUCUGUGCCGCAGUAAACACAUUAAGUACUCCGCCUGGGAAGUACGAUCGCAAGAUUAAAACUCUAAAGUGAAUUGACGGGGGUC